GGAAUGUUUCACAUUCUCUGAAUCCUUGCCAGCUUGAGCUGUUAUGUGUAUUAAUUAUCUUAGUUAUUCUGACAGGUAUAAGAUUAAAUCUCAAGUAACUUUGAUUUGUAUUUCCCUAAGAAUGUUCAGCAUUCCUUUAAGUAUUUCUCAGCCACCUGAGUUUUCUUUGUUGUGAAUUGUCUGUUUAGAUCUAACCAUUCAUCUAUUGAUGAACGUCUAGGCUGAUUACAUUUACUGGUUAUUUAAAAAGACCAUCAAUAAACAUGUCUAAACAAGUAUCAUUUAUAGUAGACUGUGGAAUCCUCUGGGCAUAUGCGUAUGGGUGUUACACUGGGGCAUUUGCUAGUUAUUAUUUCUAAUAUUUUGAGAAACUGUAACAGUGAUUUCCACCAUGGUUGAACCAGUAUACAUUUCCACCAAGGGAUAAUAAGGGUACCUCUUGCUAGAAUUUGUUACCAUUAUAUUUCUUGAUGAUAAGCAUUCUGACAGGGGUGAGAUAGAAUCUCAAAGUAGUAACUUUUAAAAAUGCAUAUCGGCUAUUUUCAUUUCUUCUUUUGAGAAUUUUAUUUAGUUCCUUGGUCUAUUUUUGUUGUUGUUAUUGUUUUUUACCUUAUUUGGUAAAGAUAUAUGUUAAAGAUAUCAGGGGAAGAAGUCAAGAUAGGAACUUGAGGUAGGAACAUGAAAGCAGGAACUGAAGCAGAAGUCAUGGAGGAACGGUACUUACUAGUAUCCUCCUCGUGGAUUGCUCAGCCUGCAUUUUCAUACACUGCUGACACCUUACCCAACAGUGGUACCAGAUCUGACUGGCUGGGUCCUCCUGCAUCAAUUACUAAGUAAGAAAAUGCCCAACAAGCUUGCCUAUAGGGGAGUCAUAAGAAAACAUUUUCUCAGUUAUAGUUCUUUCUUCUAAGAAAACUCUAGAUUAUGUCAAGUUGAUAAAAGCCAAUCAGAACAAUCGACCUCUCAUCAAAUUCACACACAAACACAUUACUAUCCAAUUAUAGCAUUUCUCUUUUUGAUCAUCUAUAAGAUCUCACAUUAAUAUCAAUUCCUCAAUAUAAAACACAUUUCAAAAUUUAAGUCCCACAGUCUUUAAAAAUUCAAACACUCUAAAAGCUCAGUCUCUUUAAAACAGUGAUUCUCAGCUUUCCUAAUGCUGUAACCCUUUAAUACAGUUCCUCAUGUUGUGGUGACCCAUACCCAUAAAAUUAUUUUCAUUACCACAUUAAAACAGUAAUUUUGCUUCAGUUUUGAAUCAUAAAGUAAGUAUCUAAUAUGCAGUAUAUCUGGUAUAUACUGUGAAAGGGUUAUUCAGCAUCCCACCAAAGGGGUAGCAACACACACGUUGAGAACUGAUGCUUUAAACAUCCAAUGUCCUUUCAAAGUUCAAAACACUCUAAAAUAUCCAAAGUCUCCCAAAUGUAGGGUACUAUAAAAUUAAAUAAUAAGUCAAAUACUUUUCUUACUCCAACAGUGAAAAUCCAGGACAUGGUCAUAAUCAAUCUAAAUUAAAUUCAUUAUUCAGCAUUAUAGAAAGUGUGUGGCAUGAAUUCAUGAUCCUCUGGGCUAUAAAGGUCUUUAUAAUGCUGCUUCUCUAAUCAUUUUCCACAGCACACAUAUAUUGUCACAAAUAUAUUUAGGCAUAGAACAUCUCUUAAUAGUUGCUGCUGUACUACUUGGUUGUUAAGCCAUGAUACGGCAUCUUCAAAAUGUAGUAUCUACAAGUUUGCACCUCCAUCAAUAGCCUUUCCUGAACUCUCUUUGGUGACUAUGGUUCUGGCGCAUGGUGAAAAACAUCAUUUUCUCUCCAUGAUCCAUUAAUCCUGGGACUUCUACUUCAACUGGCUCUGCACAUUCAUCAGUGGCUUCUUCUGUCCUCUCAUUGUGCCAAGUCUUAGUUCCUUUACAUGAGCCCUUCAAAGAGGUAUCUUCUGGGAGACUUUUGCACAUUACCGAGUUUGACAACCUCCAUAUUAGGUACAGCCUUGGCCUUCUCUGGACCAUGGCUUCUGAGUGAUGACACUGUGGAAAUAUUUCCACAUUUGCCCCCAAUGAUGCUAGCCUCUUGUCAAUCAUAACUGUUUCUUCAGCCCCAGUUUUUCUGAACAUAUUUUUAAUUCAAAUUAUGGAAUGGCCUGGAGAGAAUUUCUAAAUGAUUCCCAUAUAAGUCAGGAUUCUUAGCACUGUCUUCUUACUUCCCAUAAUAGUCCGUUAAGCUCUGACUAGUCAAUGGCUUUUCUAGCCUUAAGUUCUAAAGUAUUUCCAUAAUCCAUCAAAAACAUGGUUAUAUCUGUCACAGCAAUAUCCCAUAAACCUGGUAGUAUCAAUUUCUGUCUGUUUGAGUUUCUAUUGCUCUGAUAAAAACACCAUGAUUAAAAUAAACUUGGCUAGGAUAGGGUUUAUUUCAUUUCACAACUUUCAGGUCAUGGUCCAUCACUGUGGAAAGUAUAGGCAGGAACCUGCAGCCAUGAAGUGAAGCAGAAAACAAGGUAGAACAUUACUUACUGACUUUUUUUUACCAUGUCUUGCUUAGCCUACUAUCUUACAUAUCAUGGGGCCAUCUGAUUAGGAUUGGUACCACCGAUGAUGCAUUGGGUUCAAAAAACACCUAUCACUAAUUAAGAAAAUGACUCACAGGCUUACCUGCAGGCCAAUUUUAUGGAGAUACUUUCUUAAUUAUCAUUGGGUCUUAUUCUAGUUUGUGUCAAGUUAACCAAAAGACCAGGUAGGUCAUAUAGAUACAUAUGAUCCUAAUUUUCUAUUUCUGUAAUAAGUACACAAUGACUAAAUCACCUUGGGGAGGAAAGGGUUUAUUUGUCUCACACAUCCUUAUCAUAGUUCAUCAUUGAAGACAGGAUAGUAACUCACAACAGGAACCUAGAAGCAGCAACUAAAGCUGAAGCCACAGAGAAAGGCUGAUUAUUGGCUAGAUUAGAAUUUGGAUGGGGGAAUGUCUUAUUAGCAGAUGUAGAAGGAUGUUUUAGAGUUUUGAAUGCUUUCAUAAAACACUAUGACCAAAACCAUUACUUUUUAUUUAUUAUAAUUCCAUUCUUUUUCUUUUUAUUAUUUUUAGUUCCUUCUCAUAUUUAUUUUGUUCUUUAAAAUUAAUUUAUAUGUUCUUGAUAUCUUUAUUAUAAAACAUAUUUGUUUUACAAUCUGGAAGUAUCAAUUCAUUCUCUUGAGUAUAAUAGAUGCAGUUUAUCAUGUCUAUACUUUUAUUGAUAUUUGAGCACCAGAAUAGAUCUGAUUAAUGUUUUGUAGUAUUUGACCUUAGCCUUAAAUAUAUUUGGGUUGCUCUCUUGAAAUUUCUAUGAAGUCAUUGUAGACAUGGAGAACAAAGGACUUAGGUGUAGGCCAUUUAGUCCAACAAUCAGUUUCAUUAAGAGCAUUGAAAUCCAGGGGAAACUGUAUGGCAAUUGUAUUAGUAUUUUGGUCCCACAGUAGCUUUUUAGUAAGCUAUAGUGAAGGUUUUGUCUUUCAUAGUGCCAUCAUGAGUUAUCUUAAGAAACACUGAGCACAGAGCACUUGUGGUUUUUCCUCUUGUCAUUGAGACACUUAGGACAUGGGUACAGGCUCCAAGAUCCCCCAUUGGAUGAGAUAAAUAGACAAGCAUAUAAAACACAAUUCUUGAAAUUACCAGAGGUUCUCUAGUAGCUUUAUUCUUAGAGUUAACUUUAAAGAUUCCCUGGGUACCCCACCUACUUCCCACCAGUCUUUUUCUUUUUCCUUUUAGAACCUUUAAAAUUAUACCUCUUAGCUCAAGUAAAAGGAAAGAGUCCAUCCUUUUCUGCUGACAUUUGGCAGUAUCAGUUGUCUGAAGCACUUGAAAGGGGCCUUUUCUUUUUUUAUUUAAAACAUUUUAGUCAUUUUAUAUACCAACCACAGAUCACCCUCUCAUUCCUCCUCCUGCUCUACCCGAGGCUCGCUCCUCCUCCUCUUCCAUCCCCUCCUUCAAAAGGGUAAGGCCUCCCAGGGAGAGUCAGCAAAGGCUGAUACAUUCAGUUGAGGCAGGACCAAGCCCCUCCUCCCCACAUCAAGGCUGACCAAGGCAUCCCACCAUAGGUAAUGGGCUCCAAAAAGCCAGUUCAUGCACAAGGGAUAGAUCCUGAUCCCACUGCCAGGGCCAUUUCAAUUCAGUUGGAACGUAUCUUAUUUUCCCAACUUUUUCAGGACCAUGUCAUUGGCCUAGGAUUGAUAUUCUGAGGACAGGAUAUGAGCAAGACAUUACUUGUUUGUGAAGGAUGAUAAAGAGGAAGAUAUAGCUAGCACAUACUUUAUUAAAAGUUGAUCCUUAAUUUUCAUAAUAGAGAGGUGCUGGGGAAUAACCUUUUUGUACACUAUAUAUAUAUAUUACUCUCAUUGGCUAAUAAAGAGCUUACUGGCCUAUAUCUGGGCAGAAGGAUGUUAGAUGGAAAAAACAGAUUAAGAGAAUGCUGAGAGGAAGAAGGGUGGAGUCAGAGGAGUUGCCAGCCAGACACAGAAUGAGCAGGACACACAAAAUGGGAUAGAGGUAAAAGCCAUGAGCCUCAGAACAGCACAAAGAUUAAUUGAAAUGAGUUAAGUUGUAAGAGAUAGUUAGUAACAAGCCCGAGCUAUUGACCAAUCAUUUAUACUUAAAAUAAGUCUCCAUGUUGGUUAUGAGAGCAAGCAGUUGGGACAGGAAAACUCUGCCUACAGAGAGGUCCAUGGACCCACUAAGAUAUGGGAAACUAUACAACAUUUAAUAUGGAGACAGGCACUUAUCGCUUCAUGGAGAUGUUCUAAUGCUAAGCAAAGCUUCAUGAAGGCACUUAGUCUAGUAAAAUCUUUUUUUUUAAGUGUAAGUUCAAGUACACCAUCCCUUUGGUACUGGGUGAACUUGCAGGGCAAAAUAUUAGGUACUCUCAUUGAUACUUGUCCUUAUUAGUGCAUACCUCCAAGGUUUGAUUGCUGCGCAUCUGAAAGUUCAGCUUUUCAAGUCUUGUAAUUUUAACUAUUGUUUAAAACAAUAAGCUAUUAUAUAUAAAGUUUUAAGAUAAAAACUUUUAAAUAAAUUUUUGAUGUUGUUAUGACUCAUUUUCCUCAAUUUGUUGAAGCCUAACAAAAAUACCAAAAACCACAAAUAAUUGUUUUGAUAAGUAUAUUUUAAGCUAGUUCAUGUAGAUGUUAUGACGAGCAAUUAAAUUUUAAUAGCAUUUAAUCAAACUAUUUGUUAUCCUUUUGCUCCAUCUUGUACAAUCUAUAUGUAACUUAUUUGGAGUUUAUUUGUUGUUUUUACCAAAAAUUAUAAACUUAUACUUACACCUUUCUCAUCAAUUCUCUCUGACUCAAAUUUACUAUUUCUUUUUUUUAAUUUGUGUUCUAACAAUUUUUUUAUUUUAUUUUAUAAUUUAAUUUAAUUUUACAUAUCAGCCAUGGAUUCUCUUGUUCUCCCCACCUCCCACCCACCCCCCACGUUCCCCCCAGCUCACCCCCCAUUCCCAUCUCCUCCAUGGCAAAGACUCCCCUGAGGAUUGAGUUCAACUUGGUAGGUUCAAUCCAAGCAGGUCCAGUCCCCUCCUCCCAGGCUGAGCCAAGUGUCCCUGUAUAAGCCUCAGGUUCCAAAGAGCCAGCACAUGCACUGAGGACAGGUCCUGGUCCCAGUGCCUAGAUGCCUCCCAAACAGAUCAAGCUUAUCAACUGUCUCAUUUAUCCAGAGAGCCUGAUCCAGUUGGGGGCUCCUCAGCUAUUGGUUCAUAGUUCAUGUGUUUCCAUUCAUUUGGCUAUUUGUCCCUGUGCUUUAUCCAACCUUGUUCUCUACAAUUCUCACUCAUACAAACCCUCCUCUUUCAUGACAUCAUGAAGUUUACAGGCAAAUGGAUGGAUCUAGAAAAAAUCAUCCUGAGUGAGGUAACCCAGACUCAGAAAGACAAACAUGGUAUGUACUCACUCACAGGAGGAUACUAGAUGUAAAACAAAGAUGACUAGACUGCUACUCACAACUCCAGAGAGGCUACCUAGAAAACAGGACCCUAAGAAAGACACAGGGAUCGUCCAAUGACAGAAAAAUGGAUGAGAUCUACAUGAACAACCUGGAUGUGAGUGAGGGUAAUGAAGGGAAAGAGAGCUUAGGGGAGCAGGAGAUCCCAGCUGGAUCAAGAACAGAGAGGGAGAACAAGGAUAAGAGACCAUGAUCAAUGAAGACCACAUGAGAAUAGGAAGAAGCAAAGUGCUAAAGAGGUCCACAGAAAUCCACAAAGAUACCUCCACUAUAGACUACUGGCAAUGGUCGAGAGACAGCUCGAACUGACCUACUCUGGUGAUAGGAUGGCCAAACACCCUAACUGUCAUGCUAGAAACCCCAUCCAAUGACUGAGGGAACCAGAUGCAGAGAUCCACGGCCAGGUCCCUGGUAGAGCUCCAGGAGUACUAUUUCUUUUUUUAUUUAUCACUCUAAACAUUGAAUCCCAAUCCCAUUCAUGCACAUUGUAGCAAUUUAACCUGUAUCUAUAUUAUUAAACUGUUAAUGUUUAUUCCUGUUGCAAGUCCCAGGCAAGUAUUUUUUCUUGGAAUUUUACACUACUAUGCCUUCCGUUUUUUUCUUUUCGUGCCCCACUCUUUUAUAUCUUUGUUCUUCUCCAACACUUCAGAAAUGACCAGGAGGAUUUUUCAAGAAGAAAAACUAAUGCAGAAAGACUUGCCAAAGUUUCCAGAAGAAAGGGACAUCCCUGUAUCAACUAGGCAACUUUCCAGAGCCCAGGAGAGAAAGCUUUAUAUUCAGCAAGAGCCUGAAGAUAUAUCAGUGACUUUAAGUAGUGAAAGCUCAUUAAAAACAAGAAACAGGCAAUGAUAAAUUACACAGAGUGACUUUUUUUUUACAUGUUAACCAUAUAAUUGAAAUUUUAGGUACAGAAGACAUUUGUUCUUAUUACAACAUUCUGUGUCCUCCUGAAAGAGUGGAAUUUAAUCAUUAACAUAAAAGAUUAAAAUUUGACUUAUCUAAUCCAUUUCUGAUUCAAACUUCAGCCAGAAAAUGGAGGUUAUUUUUUUAAUCGAUAUGUUCUUUUGGCCAUAUGAAACAAUAAUUUGAUCAUGAAGUUGAUUCAAAACAAACAUUUUUCCUUCCUAUUUCCCUUUGUUCAUGGGUUGUCAUCUAAGAACCUCAACAUUCUUUCUAAUGACCUAUGUGGGAGAAUUUACCAAGGAGUUUUAUUAUCAUCUUUUUACCUUGUGUCUCUUCAAAUUUAAUCACUUAUUUCCCUUCUUCUAUUUCUUGUCUUCUCUGGAGUCAGUCAACCUUCCACACUGGAGGAUUUUCACAUUCCCCUAGACACACUGUCUUCCAUUUUUAGAGAACUCCUGUGACAGCCAUGUCAGUUACACUCUCACCGUCUGAAAACAUCCAGGCUCCAUGGAAUACUGAAUUGCUUUUGGCCAACUUUCCUGCCUUGGCAGCAUGCGUGCUGUUUGCUUGUUUACCAUGGUAUCUUUUCUUCUGAAAAGACCAGUCACCACUCCACACUUUGUAGUCCAGUAUUUCUACUUUGGUUCAAGCAUGAAGUUGCUUUUUACUUUUGUGAUGUCUCUUCCUUCUGGAAAGCUCUGCAAGUAAUUCUGCAUUAGUUUCACUUCUCUUUAAAUUACUCUUGAGAUUUUCUCAAGGUCUGCAGAAAGACCAAGAUCUGGAAGAAUAGGACACUCUAAGUGGAGUCCAAAAUGUUGUCCCUUCUCCAGAGACAAAAGGGCUUUUGCCCCAAAUACAGAAAUAAGGAGAGGCCCUAGUUGUGCAAAAUGUAGGCCCUUACUUCAAAAUAACAGCACUGACAGAGUAGCAAAACCAAGAGAGUUUAUUUUACAUUGCAAAGGCAGCAUCUAACUAGAACAGUGGGAACAAUGAUGCUCCACAAAGAACAGUUCUUAUAGACCUGCAUGCUGGUCUCUUCUUCCUUUACUUCAUUGUCUAAAUGAUCAGAAAGUGACAAUCUUAUGUGUCAUGACUUUCAUUUGCAGGUAAGCUUGGCUGUUAAUUUUCUACUCUAAACUUGCAGUUUGAGUGGGGGGUCUAGUAGACCAGCAGACACUAGCAGGGGUCCAGUUUUUUCUAUCUGUCUGUUUCUGGGAUGAAGCUGCUUUGAAGCACCUUUAAAAAUAAAUAUUUCAAAAAAUUCUUACACUUGUUAUAUAUCUGUGUAAAUGGCUUAUCUCACCUCAAUUUAACUUUCACAGGCCAUAUGUAGCAAGAAAUUCAUUCAUCUCUUUUAUAUUUUCCUACAGGGAAGAUUAUAGUUUUUAAAAUAUUAAUUUGUGAUUUUCUAAAUUACAUUGGUAUAUGUACCAUUCCUUUAAGUAUCUUUUAAAUUUCUGCCUUUAUGAGCAUGCACAGCUUCAGUUUGUGCUUAUCUUAAAUUGCUGCAGUUGGAAGUUUUCCUGUGUCCCACCUGGUCCCAUGGCCACUCAGUCUCGAGUAAACACACACAGGCUUAUAUUAAUUACAAACUGUAUGGCCUAUUGCUCAGCCUCAUUACUAACUAGCUCUUAUAACUUUAUUCAACCCAUUUCUAUUAAUCUAUCUUUCAUCAUGUGGCUUCAUGGAACUACCUGUUCUCUCACAUCUUGCUUCUCCUGGUGGUGGCUCACAGUUUUUGCCUGACUCCAUCUUUCUUCAUCUCUGUCUUCAGUUUGAAUGUACCUCCUAACCUUAUUCUGCCUCACCAUUGGCCAAACAGCUUUAUUUAUCAACCAAUGAAACCAACAUAUAUUCACAGUGUACAGAAAGACAUCCCACAGCAAAAUGCCCUUUAUUUCUCCAUCCAUUUUAAAAGAUAGCUUUUCUGUUUAUUGGAAUCUUGAUUAUCAGCUAUUGUUUUUUCCAGUACUUAAAAAUAUAGCACUCCAUGCUUUGGCUUUGAGGCUUGCUUACAUAUUCUGUCUUUGUAGCUGAGUUGAUGCUUUCCCCAAUAUUUUACAAAACUGUUUUUUCACUUUGUAUUUUUAAUUAUUUUAGAGUUUAUUUUAUUUUAUUUUAUGAAUAUUUGACCAUAUGUACAUAUGUAAACUGCAUGUGUGUCUGGUGCUAAUGGAGGCCAGAAGAGGGCAUCAGUUCUUCUGGAACUGGAGUUACAGAUGGUUGUAACAUAGUUGCCAGGAUUUGAACCCAGGUCCUCUUCAAGAGCAACAGUGUUCUAAACCAGAGACAACAUUCCAUCCCUGCUUGAUGGUUUGAGUAUUAUAUGUCAAAUAAGUUAUUCUCUAGUCACAUCUAUCUGAGAUUCUAAAUGCCUCUUUUAUUUAAAUAUUUUCUCUUUUUCUAGAUUGGGAAAUUUCUGUUGUACAUUGAAUAUAACCUCUAUUCUUUGUAUUUUCCUACAUAAUCUUAGGUUUAGUCUUUUGGCUGUAUCUCAAGAGUUCUUCUUCUUCUUCUUCUUCUUCUUCUUCUUCUUCUUCUUCUUCUUCUUCUUCUUUCUUUCUUUAUUGAUAUUUAAAUGUAGUAUGUUGUCAAUAUUAUCUGCCUUUGCUGAUAUUUUUUCCUCUAUUUGGCCAAAUAUAUUGGUGGAGUAGUUUGAAUAUAAUUAGCCCACAUAAUCUCACAGGGAGUGGCACUAGUAGGAGGUGCGGCCUUGUUGGAGGAAUUGUGACUAUGGGGUGGGAUUUGAGAUCUCUUUUGCCCAAGCUUUGCUGAGUGUGACCCUCAGUUGAUUGCCUACUUCCUGAAAGAUGUAGGACUCUCAACUACUUCUCCAGCACUGUGUCUGACUACAUGCCACCAUGUUUCCUGACUUAAUGAUAAUGAACUGAAUCUCUGAACUUUAAACAACCACCUCAAUUAAAUAUUUUCCAUUUUAAGAGUUGCUUUCAUCAUGGUGUCUCUCCACAGCAAUUGAAACCCUAACUAAGACAAUUGGUGAUGCUUUGCUAUGUUAUUUUUUUACUUGUUACCUUUAGUCUUUAGUUUUGAGGUCUUUAAUCUCAAGUCUGUUUUUUUUUUAAGAAUCUCAAUUUACUUGUUGAUUUUUUUCUUUCAAUUGACAUUUUCACUCAUGUUGCUUGUUUUCUUAUUCAUUUUAAGACUAUUUUCCUCUGUGUUACUAACUCUCCUUUCUUGUCUUAGAUUGAAUUAAUGUGAUAGUCUGUAUCUCCUUUUGGAUCAUUGACCAUUUUUGCCCCCAAAUCUUUGAAUUCUUCAUGGGGCAUUUUACUCAUUUCAGAAGCUCUAAAUUUACUAGCUGAGGGGUUAUCAUUUUUUGAAAAAGUCAUGUUGAUUUGAGUUUUCUUGGUUCUGGAAUUUGUAGAUCAUUAUUUGUACAUCUGUUUGUUUGGAUUUCUUUUCAAGAUUUAUGGGGAGGAAUCUCUGAUUGAGAAGCCUACUCAUAAAGGCUCAAUCUCAAUAUUACUCAGCAAGGGGAAAAUAAACACGUUACCUGUGAUCAUAAAAGUGAAAAAAACCCACAAAACUCAUGCAGAGUAUUCUGUGAAAUUAAAAAAUUUUAAAGGUGAUCUGGAAAGAUUGUUCAGUGGCUAAGAGCAUGGAUUACUUACUUUUGUAGUUGAAGAUAUAUUUUUUCAUACCAUAUAAUCUGAUUAUGGUUUCUUCUCCCCCAAAUCCUCUCAGAUCUUCCUUGACCCCUCAUCCACCCAAAUCCAUACCCUUUCUUUCUCUCUCCCAUUUGGGUACAAACAGACAAGAAAAAUUAAUGAUAAGAUUAAAAAAGGACAAAGUGAACUACCAGGAGAAAAAGAUCCAAAGAAAGAGUACAAGAAACACAUAUAGACAAGGAGACACACACACUAAAACACAGAGAAAUUGCAUAAAAAGAGAUCAUCAGAAACAAUAAUGCAUAUGCAAAAGACCUGUAAGGAAAAAUGGACAAAAAGAAAAAUAAUGUCCAGACACUGAAUUAUGAGACAAGGAGCCUCCAAAAAUGCAAUCGAGUUCACUUUGUUUUUUAUCUACUGUUCAGCAUGUGGUCUGUCUUUAUGGGUGGUUUGUAUACCAGUGAAAUUCACUUGGAGAAGAUUAAUUUUUUCUUUGUGAGUGAUUAGCAAUUAGAGAUAGCUUCUUUGAUUUGGAUGGAUUCUUGUGCCCACUUCUUCUUUCAUUACUGAGACACCAUCUGGUUUAGAUCUUUGUAUAAGGACUGCCGCAGCCUGUCUGAGUUCAUAUGUGUAUCAAUCGUGCUGUGUUUAGAAAGUAUUUUUUUCCUUGAUGUCCUCCAUCCUCACUGGUUCUUACCAUCUUUCUGCUUCCUCUUCCACAGGCUUCCCUAAGCUAUGAUGGGAUGGAUUUGAUCAAGACAACCCAUUUAGUAUUGAGUGCACCAAGCUCUCCCACUCUCUGUACUUUGUUCUCUUGCCCUCCAGCCUGCCCCGCAACAUACCCCAUUUCCUCCUACAAGAAGUUAAGGCCUCCCAUGGGGAGUUAGCAGAGCCUGGUACAUUCAUUAGAGGCAGGUCUAAGCCUCUUCUCCUGCCUCAGCGAUGUGUUAUAAGCCUGAAGAGUUGCUUGUACUUCAGAGAAAUCAGGGAGUGAAGAAAUGAAGGCUUUAAGACUCUUGAUAUGAAGCAUACAAUGAAUACACAUGCAAAGCAAAGAUACAAAAGAAACAGAAGUAUUUUGUCCCAGAUAAAUUGUGGUAUACAAUAUUCUCAAUAAGAAAUUGUCAAAGAAUUAAAGGAGCAAUUUGUAAUCCCCCAAAAGGUUAAAAUCAAGGAGGGCUGCUUAUACUUCUGGGAAGACAGAUAAGCAAUGAUCCUGUUACUGUUGAUCUGCUUUCUGUGAUCUAGGAUUUGGCAUUUCAUAAAAUUAGUGUCUGUGAGAACAUCAGCUAAAUAGUAUUUUUAUUAUGUCACUCUUUUUACUGUUUUACUUUAAUUCUUUCCUUAAAUGUCAAUUUCCCCCUUUCAUGCCUCUAUUAUGGUAGGCCUCAAAUUUUGAAUACCUGAUGAAAGCUAAUGAAAUUGUAGCAAAAUAAUUAUCAAUGCCUGCAUCUUUUUUGAUUAUAAAUCAGUCCAGUGAGGUGUAGCAUGCAGUAAAAUGACUAUAGUAUCAAGUUCAAAUGGAAGACUUUCUUUUUAGCUUUUUAAUGUAGAGAUUUAAAGAUAAAGCAUUACCAGAUUCCCUAUCUCACUUUUUUUUAAGAUCCCAGAUUAAUAUAAUAUUUCUAUACUGCCAGGUCUGGUACUCAGGUGAUGAGUAUGACAUCAUAGACCUGUACAGGGUAUAGGCCCCUAGAGCACAAUCAUACUUAGGAUUUUGACCUGUCAGAGUUUCAUAUAUGCAAGUUUUCAGGAUGAAAUCUUUGUAAUUUCACUACUUUGUAAAGAAUAUACCAUGUUACAAUACCAUGAUAUAAAAAUGUUUCUUGAAAUAUUUCCUCAGAAAAAUUUUAAGUAGUCUUUCUUCAUACAACUAAGGUAACAAGUACAUCUCAUGUAAGACAUUCAAUAUGAAAGAAAUACUUGGCAAAAUACUAUAGGUCCAUCUUGGACAAAUUAUGAUUUUUUUGUGUGUGUUUUGUUUUGUUUUGGUUUUGGUUUUUUGAGAUAGGGAUUUUCUGUGUAACAGUCCUGGUUGUCAUGAAACUUGCUCUGUAGACCAAGCUUGCCUCAAACUCAGAGAUCUAUCUGCCUCUGCCCCCUCAGUUCUUGGAUUAAAGCUGUGCACCACCACACUUGAUUAAAUUAUGAAGAAUAAGUUUUAUGUCCAACCAUUUGCCAUUUAGAAAGCCUCAAACUUGCAACUAUGUAAUUGCUAGAGAAAAAAAUAUCUCUGGAAUUAAUGAUACAGAGGCAAUGAAUCCAGGUAUAAAACACAAACAGCAAGAUUCCCCGACCCCCCCCCCCACCCCCACCAAGUUCUUAGUGCUAUUAACUUGUAUUGAUGUAGGAAUGCUUCUGGUUUAUGUCCUGAAAGGAGAAUAGGGACCAUGAGUAAUGGGAUGGACAGAGAACACAGAUUCAAAAUUGAACUCAGUAUUGACAAUUGUAGGGUGAACUGGAAAUUCACAGAAACCUACCAAACAAGUUAUUUAUGAAUAUGAACAUGAAAAUACAUCAACUUAGUAUGAUAAUGAAAGGAUCUUUUUGUGAUAUCCUAUACAUUUUUCAUAUCAUUGACAAUACUUUCAUUUAUAUCCAGAAAAGCAGUAUUAGGACAGAAAUUAAACUUAGAUUAGCUUUUUUUUCACAUUUUUAUUAGUAAAAGUCACACAAUACAGCAUUUGAUAUCUUAUUUAUUUCUCAUUUGUGUUAGCCAACAGAUUAUAAUUGAUUAUGCUGACUGUUUUAGUACCUCUGUUAAAGACUGACAACAUUCCCUCUGAACAAUCAUGUUCUUGUUUCUCAAAGUUAAGGAUACAAGCUUUCUGAGGUUUUACCUGCAGUGGAAAUACUCAUGUUGAAAGAAGGCUUGUCUGUAUCAAUGAUGAGAACAAUUGUCUGAGGAUGCAGAAUGACUCAUGCCAAUAGAAAUAUGGGGUCCAGAUACGAGGUCCUCUUAAGACCAAAGAGGUUUCCAGAGCUGGACUAGCACUUUUCAAUUUUGACAGAUGACAGGUAACAUUUCAAACUGGCUUUGGGACCCUAUAUUUUGAAGAAAUGGUCAUUUUUACAGUGCCCCAAAUGUGCCCUAAUACUUGUUUAAUUGCUUUUAAUCCAAGUAACACUGUAAAGAAUCAUAUAGUCUAGACAGGAUAGAAUCAAAAGAGGUGUACACAGUGGAAAAAAAAUCACUUAACAGCUCAUUACCACUGUCACCAGAAUCCUGAUUUCCUAUAUAAGGUAAACUGCAAAGAAGAGAUUGGAGGGCUCACUGCUUUGAUUACCGAGUGAUUUUUGAGGACUCUAUAUUUCCUUUUUCUUCAUCAAUUAUGCUUCAUAAAGUUUAAGAUAUUGAGUAUGGUGUUAGGUGCAUUUGGUACAGAUCUAUUGACAGUGAAUUUGUGUAGGUUCAGGGAAGCAGAAUUAUCUCUCAAUGUUAAUGGUCAUCUUAUUGUCCAUGACACCAGAUCAAGAGAGUUUCAGAAUUUGCUCAAAUUAGCAAUCCUUCCUUCAUGUCACAUUGUCUUUUUCAAGUAAUUUUAUUUAAUUGAGGCUCUUUGGAGCUAUUUCUCAUGAACCAGCAUGCUUGAAGUGAGUGGUUCAUGUUCAUUACAUCAUGUAUUAUUUGCAAGAAUAGUAUAUUUAACAAAGUUUUCCUGAUUCCAAACAUAAACUAUAUCCUACUUCCACAACCUCAUGAACCUGACACACAACAUAGGAAAAUGAACUUCUGAAGAAGAAAUGAUGAAAGAAGAUACACAUGGAACAUGGCUAAUAAAAGAAAUACAUAAUUUUUCUGAACACAGAAAAUUCCAGAACCACAUGGAUUCUUUUCAGAGUAUCACAGGAACAUCAAAGUUCAAUUAAAGCCAACAUAUUUAACAUUUUACCCUGCAAUAGUGAAGAAAAUAAUGCUUUAAGGCUAGUAAUGGGAUGGAUAAAAAGAACAUAUAUGCCAAGCAAAUUCUGGUGCAAGAAAAAGAUAGAAUAGAGUGCUUUGCCCCAGAUGAGUAGUGAUAUGUAUUAUUCUCAAUAGAAACGUGUCAAAAGAAAUCAAGAUUGGAAUUCAUAUUUCAUUCAUUGUGUGUAAAAAUGCUUUAAUUUAAGAUAAGCAAUUAUGGUUCACAGAAGAUAAAUCAACCAGUCUUUAGUGAAGACAAUUUCCACUACCCUUUCUGAGAGAUAAAGCGUCUAUCUCUUCUUGAAUUGUUCAAUGGACUUUGAAAGACUACUUUAGAGGAAGCAAUUAGAAAGGAAAUAAGCCCUUGCAAACAAGUGCAAUGUUAAGAAAGAAAAUGAACUCACCUGAUGCUUUAUAAGAAGUUUGUAUGUGCUCAGAUAUGUGCAGGGUAUGAUGUGUGAGGCAGAGGAAGUUGGAAAUUACCUCACUUUUCAAAGGCACAUUUUCAUUCUUGAUAUAAUUUAUUUGUAUACUUAUAUUUUGUGGCACAACAAAAGCCUGGAAGACUACUUCUACUCUGGAAUAACAGGUAAGCAAUGUCUCUGGCUCUGUAUUCCAAGACUGGGGUUUUUAGAAACUCUGCACCUGUGAUUUUAGAAGUUCAAUUAAUAUGACUUUCAUGUUAUUACUCUCUUGAUCAUUGUUUUUUAUAUUCUCUGACUAUUUUUAUUGUUUUUCAAGCCUUUUGUAUUCUAGUUAUCAUAGUGUAGAAUAAUUGAUAAAACCCAAUGACACACCAAGCUAAUGUGACCAAUUCUUGUAUCCUUGUUGACUUUAAAAGAGUGGUAUAUAGUAUAUGCUGUAAUUAUUUUCAUCUCCAGGGCAAAACUAAGGCUUUCUUUCAACUUUGAAUUUCAAAUAUUCAAACAUAAUUCAUCCUGAGAUUUUUCAUCUCAUUUUCCCAUCAAAUCUCAGAUCAAAAUUCUAUUUCUAUAGUGGCAAUUCCAGUAUCCAAGUGAUGAGUAUGAUAACAGAAACAUCUCUGCAGUGUAGGUCUCUAGAGCACAGAACAUAAUUCGUAAGUGUUCAGCCCAUCAGAAUUCCAAAGUUGUAGAUUUUCAGAAUGCACCGACUGUGUUUUCACUACUUUGUAACUUGCAUUGUAUGUUACAGGAUUCCUCUAUUUCACAAGAACAUUUCUGAAGUGUCAGUCUUCCUACAACUAUGGUAAAAAAAAUACCACUUACAUGUAACACUGUAAACAACAGAAAGAUGUGGCACAACACUACAUGCCCAUCCUUAGAGAAAUUAGAAAGAAUAAGUAUUAUAAAAAGGCUUUGUAUUUGAGGAAGUCCUGAAACUGCACCUUUUGGGUGCAUAAAUCUGGCUGUGAUAAUACAGAGAGAAGGAAACCUGUCUCAAAAAACACAAAUCUAAAGACCAGUACGUCUCAAAUUCAUAUGGAACUAUUAGUCACAUUAAGUAAUAUUAGUGUAGCUUUCGUUCUGGUUUCUAUCUGAACAGGAGCAUGAAAACUAUGAGGAAGGAGAUGGACAAGAUAGAUAUGUUUCAGAAUUGAAUGAAGUAUUGAUGUUUGGAGCAUAAACUGGAAAUUGAGUACUGUACUGAGAAAUAGAGGAAAGGAUCAUGAGCAGGAAGAAUCUGAGCAUAAGAUAUUAAUAAAAUUGAUGGUAUGCAAUCAGUAAAUUGGGGUGCUUAUUAAAGGAUCUUUGGAAAGAAAACAAGACAUUUUAAUGCUUGAAAUGAUUUUCCCUUUCUUGUUAACAAAUCAGAAUUCAUGAUAGGUAGUCAAUUCAGAAUAUUUCACCAAUGUGUUACUCUUUCUUAUAAGUGUGGCACAAUAGAGUAUUUGAUAGAUUGUUCAGCUCGUAUAUGAUAUAAGAUCCAGAAGACAAUUUAUUCAUGCUGUCUCUGGUUCAGUACCUCUGUUGAGAAACUGAACAGCAAGCCUUAUACACAAUCUUGCUCUUGUUUUUCAAAGUUGGGAAGACUAGCUAUCCCAAACUAGCUGCUGGUGCUGUGGUUCCUAGAGCUGGCUUGUGCUCUGGUAAAGCCAAAGUCUACUUCUGAAAUGAUAGUCUGGGAUAUGAUGUUCUGGAAUUCAUAGGACCAGCCUUAUCCCCAGUAAAGCUGCCAGGACUGUGGUCACUGGUAAAGAGCCCAGUGGAGAAGGUGAUAAAUAUAACACAGUAUGGUAACGAAGAGAGAGGAAUCCAGACUCAAACACAGAAACCACAAGAUGUGACCCUCUCAAAUUCAUAUGGGAUUAUUGGUGAUAUAUAAUUGUCUCUGUGCUUUCUCUCCUGACAUGAGCAGAGAAACUUCAAGGGAGGACACAGAAAUAAGACACAAGUUUCAAAACUGAACAUAAUAUUGAAAGUUACAAGAUAAACUGGGCAGUCAAUCCUGGGCUUUGAGAUAUAGGACAAAAUCUUGCAGAAGAGGAGGCCUAGGACAAGAAUGAACAUCAGAAAGAGGAGGAAUUUACCAAAAUGCUCUUAAUGGAUUCUUGUGAAAUCUAAAACACAGUAUGCUUAGAUGCUUAGGUUGUAGGAUGUUUGCAAUCUGUGGUUCAUGAGGCAGAAAAGGUUGCCUGGACAAAUUUCCAUUCUUGAUAUGUUUUAUUUAUGUUUUGUUGCAGAUUAAAAUCCCAGAGGGACUACUAAUUCUGCAAGUAUGACAAACGAGCUGCAAAUCUGGUUCUGCUUCAGCAAAUUUGAUUUCUCUGUAUUAAGACUGGGGAUUUCUUAAAGAAAGUAUCUAUGACCUCAAAAGUUCAAGGAAUAUGAUUUCUGCAAUGUCACUUUUUUGAAAGCUAUGUUUGGAAUUGUACUACAAAUAUCAAGUUUACCACUUUUCAGGCCUCUGCUAUUUUAAAUCUCAUUAAGUGGAGUUCCUUCUCAACCUAGUGACAAGGUUAGAAUCCCAGAGGGGUACUUAUUCCUCAGGCAGGAGAGGACCUCUGUUGAGGAUGAAAACAACAAGCCUGCUGCACAAUCCUGAUCUUUCUUUUCAAAGCUAAAGAGAAUAGCUGUCCCAGCAUUGCCCUGGCAGUGGAAACAGUCAUGUGCUGAGAGAGGGCUUGUCUGGAUCAACGAUGACAAGUCCAUGAGAUCGGUGAUCAACUCAUACAAAUGGCAAUCUGAGGUCCAGAUAGGAGAUCCUCUCAAGAACAAUGAUGUUUCCAGAAUUUGGCCCAAACUCUUCCCCUUUGAAGGAUGACAGAAAACAGUGCAGACUGGAUUUGGUUCUUAAAUUUGGACAAAAUCACAAUAUUUGGGUGUGACAAACCUGUCCUAAAAAUUGCUUCAUUCCUUUCCAUCUAGAAAGUACUGUAGUAAAUAUAGGGUGUACAUUGCUUUUAAGUUAUCCAAUCAUGUAAGCCUGAAUGAAAAAAUAUCAAAAGAUGUGGAAGCACUGAAAGAAUCAUUGAGCAUCUCCUGGUAUUCUCAUGGGAAUUUCACGUUCCCACAUUGGCAAAAGGACAAGAAAGGAUUACAGGACUCACUUCCACCAGAACAGGACUGUGCCUCUCCUGUUCCUUUGUACCAUUUGGCCACAGUAUGAGAUAAUUCACCAUAUUGUGAGAAAAAGUCAUUUUCUAUGUAUUGUCACUGAAUAUACCCUUCUUACUGGAAGCUGUAUUUUUAUGGGUGCAAAUAGUCAUCUUACUGUGAGGCACCAGAUCAAGCAGCUUUCAGAUGUUGACCUGCUCACCAAUCACAUCUUACCAUCAUAAUGCCUUCUUGACAAAAUUAUAAUUUUUGAUGAGGGUCCAUGACUUAAGUGCAUUGUGUUUUUGAGGCACAAUGUUAGAAGUGAGGGCUUCAGUUUGUUUACAUUUUGUGUAGGUAUUAGUAAGUUGAGAUCAUGCACACACAUCAUAGGCCUCAAAGACUGCCACAUGUUACUUCCAACAAGAAUUACAUUCAGAAUCAUAAGUCAGGAAAACAAUUAUCUGAGAAUAGGAAGAGGCAAGCAGAUAAUUCGAGAGUAGAUAACAAGGCAGGCACUCAAAGUCUCUGAAAUGAAACAUAGAAGAACCACCUGUGCUAUGCCAAGAUUAUUUGAAAUAGUACAAAAGAAAGAUGAAACAAUGACAUGUUUAUACAUAUAUAUAUAUAUAUAUAUAUAUAUAUAUAUAUGACAUUGUUUCAUAGAGAUUCUAUAAAAAGAAGCAUUAAGAGUCACGAUAGAUCACUCAAAGGGAACGUUCACACAGCAAAGUUUCUUGAAGUGGAAAUAGAAUUUUGAAACUUGUCCUAGUCUGGCAGAGAUCCACACCAUUCUCAAAGGGAAAUGAGCAAAGGAGUUCAUGUGUGCCAUCCAGGUAACCUUCUCUUUUAGCAAAUGCCUGUUUUCCGAGAAAAUUGUCAACUCCACAGACCAUAAUUUCAAGAUCAUACCCAUCUCUGAAGUGAGUGGAAUUGCCCAAGAUCCAGGAAACUAUCUGCAUUGGGAAGGGUUUCUAGGAUUUCAUACUUCAUUCCGUAAUCUGUGACAUGCAAGACUCAAUCAUAACCAGUGGAUAUUACACAUCAAGAGAGCAGGUGCUUGCCCGAGAAUUCUACAAGACUUGGAAGGAAUAUCAUGGAUAGGGUCAAGCUUCCUGCCUCCCAAGAGCACACGUUCAAUGUACUCUUGAACCUUGAAACAGAACAUGAUAGUGCAGUGGUAGGAGACGUGCUGGUGCUGACCAAACCUUUGGGAACCCAGGUUGCCGCCAAUGCCCACCAAUGGCUGGAUAAUCCUGAGAAAUGGAAUAAAAUCAAGAUGGUGGUUUCCAGAGAGGAAGUAGAGUUGGUCUAUCAGGAAGCUAUGUUCAAUAUGGCUACUCUAAACAGAACUGCUGCUGGGUUGAUGCACACAUUUAAUGCUCACACAGCCACAGGUAUCACAGGCUUUGGCAUUUUAGGACACUCUCAGAACCUCGCAAAACAACAGAAAAGCGAAGUGUCCUUUGUCAUUCAUAACCUGCCAAUCAUUGCCAAGAUGGCUGCCAUCAGCAAAGCCAGUGGGCACUUUGGCCUCUUCCAGGGAACAUCAGCUGAAACCUCUGGGGGGUUACUGAUUUGUCUGUCAAGAGAACAGGUGGCCCGCUUUUGUUCGGAAAUCAAAUCUUCCAAGUAUGGAGAGGGUCACCAAACAUGGAUCGUCGGCAUCGUGGAGAAGGGAAACCAGACAGCCUGUAUCAUUGACAAGCCUCGCGUUAUUAAAGUUCUACCUCGGGGAGCCGCUCCUGCUGCUGCUGCUCCUGCUCCUGAAAAUUCCAACGCCGCAGCUGAGCCUAGUUUAUGAAAUGGAAUAGCAGAAGUUGUUGGGGACUCAGAGCCAUUCCACGCGCUCAUGGACUGUCGCCCAAGGUUGAUUUUAAGACCUUUGCAAAGGCUCUCUGCAUAGUGCCUCCAGGUGCCCUUGCUAGUUCCAUCCAAAACUGCCUGUAUGUACAUCUAGGGCCAUAAGUAGCAUUGGGGGAAUGUGUGUUCAUCUCUUGAUUGUGGAGCAGGAAGCCUUUUCCCAAAACAAGAUGAGACUAUUCCAGGUUAAGGGAUUUUUUCUUUGCACUGAGUUGAUUCAUUUCUGCACAGGGAGUCAGAUUAUUAAAAUUACAUACAGAAGAAGUAAACUGCAACAUGAAAAGAAAUUAGAGUUUGGACCAAUAUACUGAUAAAUCUAAAUUGUUAGAGCUCUUACUGAUUCAUUGUCAAGUUUGUUAUUAAUUUUUCUGAGAAACUGCCUCUUUUCCUGUUCUAGACAAGAGUUGAGCAACUUGUCCAACUAGGAAAGGAAGACACAGUCCCCUGCCUUGGUCUCUGUUAAUGAUGUCUCCUCCUUCGACUCCCACUAAGGACUGGAAGAGACUGAACAAGCCUCAGAGCCAGGUAUAAAUUAAUAUGAAUGUUUAGGAGUCAUAUUAGAUCGCUUGAAUGGACGCCUUCUCCUCACAAGGUGUAUUGAAAGGUUAGGAUCCCACAGAGGCUACUGAUUCUUCUUACAGAGAGUGAUCUGGGAUUUUGUUUCAGAGUGUGAAGCAUCCUGGUACAUGUCAGGUGCCCCUUUGAAGAAGAGAUUCCAUUCAGUGGGACGAUUCAAAGCAGAUUUGACCAGAAUGGUCUAUAUUGGGGCAUAAACUUCUCAUGGCCAAGGCCCUCAUCACCUCUGGAAGCCCUGGUAUGCAAUGUUGGUUGUUAUUAAAAAUGUAUGUAUAGCUGUGCUCGCAGAAGCCCUGGGUCUAUAAUGACCAUCCUGUGACAUGAAGAGAGAUGAUGACAUAACAAUCACGUGCCGCCGGGCGGUGGUGGCGCACGCCUUUAAUCCCAGCACUCGGGAGGCAGAGCCAGGUGGAUCGCUGUGAGUUCGAGGCCAGCAUGGGCUACCAAGUGAGUUCCAGGAAAGGCGCAAAGCUACACAGAGAAACCCUGUCUCGAAAAACAAAACAAAAAACAAAAAAAAUCAUGUGCAAAAGAAUGAUGCUUAUGACCUCACUGAAGUAGAGGUGAGAAAGAGCUGCCUCAUCUACUUGCGGCUUCCAUGAUUCCCAAUUUAUAGGCCCUGCUCUCCCUAAGCCAUAUUCCCCACCUUGGUAAUCCUAUGCUCUCAAUUUGCAAAUACCUAGCAGAAACAUGAGUGCUCCAUUCAAAAGACCUCUUGGGACUCUCUAAAUUUGUUCAAGGCUUUAUUUGCCAACACAUGGCUUAUGUCCCUGUCUCCUCUCCUGUCUUUCAGUGACCUGGGAUUUGUUUCAGAGCCCAAUGCAAGCUGGAACAUUUCAGGUAAGUGGAAGAAUAUGCCCAAAGUCCGCAAUCUCUACAGGUCCUAUAACUUCCCUUUGAAAAAGCCUUGACAAACCAAGAAUAUUUCCAUUUUAAAUACUCAUUCUCAAGGCUCUGGCCUGAAUGUGGCAAUGUUUGACCUCUCAGGCCUUUGGAUGCAGAAUGACAAUUUCAAAUGCACACCCAGUCAUGGAUAAUUCCAAGGAAAGUGGAAAGUAGCCACUAGUCAGAGACUGUAGGAGAAUGACCACAGGUGGUGUAAGGAGGCUCAGAACUUCUCUGGUUCAUGUCACAGCAAUAGAGAAACAUACACUUCACUUUACUUCCCUGCCUGGUUUUAUGCUUGGGCCUCCGAUCCUGAUUUGAAAGGCAGUAAAGUACCUCAAGAUUCUAUGCUACAGAAGGAAUGUGAGCCACCUCCUAGCUGAAAGGGCA